GUAAGGCUUUAAAAUAGCUACGUAGCUAGUGUGUCAGUUUUACUUAUAAUAAUAAUAUUAUAUUUCAGUUAUUAUAUAAGUAUAUAAGUAUAAGUACUAUAAUUAUAUGAGCCAAAGGAUUUAGGAUGCUAUAUACAUCAAAGAUGCAUGUUGCGGCCGGCUUGCUACCAGUUAGAGCAUCUUUUUGACUUGAUUACUCUUUAGUAUAAGUUCAAUAGCUCUGAAAGGGAAAAUUCGAGCAGAAAUAAUGCACGUUUCUGGCCUUGAUUGUAUAAUUCUGAGUAACCUCUCGAUGACAUAAAGAAAAAUGGCAGGGAAUACCAUGUAGAAAUGACGGUCUCCAGUGUGAAACAAGAAAAAAACGAUGAAGAUGAUAUACAAGUGGUGUGUGUAGUAGAAGAUUUCAAAUCUUUUUCUUCUCACUUGUGGAAGUGAUGUGAUCCAGAUGACUAAUCCCGCAACAAGUGAUAUUUCCCCGGCCAGAGGUUAACCUGAAGUUACAUGCAAAUCAAGGCUAGGUGUAGUUUCUGAUAUUUGGUCCAAGUGCACUAGUGCAGUGAGUUAGAUUUGAGGUUUCAAAAGUAACGGAAAUGUGAACAAUUGUACCCCCAUUGCUCAAGGAAAAAUCCAAUUUAGCUUUUCAGUGAUUUGUCAGGCAUCAUCUUCUCAAAAUCAUUAGAGAUUCGUAUGUAGAACGUCCAUGCUAGAAAGAUUAUGAAGAUGGAGAUGACAAUGACUUCCAUGGCAGACAAAACACCCACGAAACUAUUAGCGAUGAUUGGGUUGGAUAGAGCUGUGAUCAAACUCCUCCUUCGUCUGACAUUCAAAUAGAAAUGAUCUAAUUCACUUUGAGGUUUCAAGUAGAUGUGAUCCUACUAGGAUGCUAGCAAGGUCAAACAUAUAGUUCUCAGUUGUAGACUCGCAAGAUAAAAAUCCCACCGGCUUUGAAGAUAUUUCCACCUUAACAGUUGACCUUGUGAUUCACCAGGUACCAGAUCAUGGAACCAGUUUUUGGUCAGCUUUAGCUUAAAAUGUCAAUUAAGAGCCAUAAGGAUCAUGUUAAACCUGAAUUGGAAUGGAAUCGGAUAUCACAUUUGAGCGUCAUGCGUGGUGGUCCAUAUGCAAUCUUUAUGGAGGUUGUGACUUUCACUCAGUUUCCAUACCUUCAAGUUGUCAUAACAAAGACAGGCAUGAGACAAGUCUUUAGAAAAGUUAUGACUCUUUUGUUGUAGUGCUAUACCGAUGAUUCCAGAUCUUCGAGCUUUAUUUGGUGCAUAUAGUCAACUUGAAACCCAACGAAAUAAUAAACACCAAGCAAACGAGAUAGAAUCCAGUUGAGAUAGGGAGGGUGAAUUUGAAACUGAACCCUUGUGUUCACCAGUUAGUUGUACAUGUUAUUUAUUUGUUAAAUGUAAAAUGUCUCUUUUGUGUGAUUGAAGACCUUUGAGUUUGUCAAAGAUAACAUAACAUGGAGCAAUUAGAAUAUGCAGGGUUUGUGGGUUGAAACAUACUUAGAGAUUCGGUUUCAGACUUUCGGGUCUAGGUUGCUCUUUUAGUUUUUGUUGGGAUAAUAGUUGAAAUUAAGCUUUUAAGUCUGUUUUGUAGACCAAGUAUUGUAACUCAUACUUUGCUGAUUAUCUUUUUUUUUUUUUUUGAUUAUCUUUUAAUGGCAAGUUUUAGUGCUUAUUUACAAGGACAAGCACAAUUGUGGUUUUAAUGCU